GUUCUACUCAGGCCACCUGAUUUUACAGAGGAGAAAACUGAGGCUCAGAAGAUUUAGGUGCAAAGGUCCAGCGCCUUCACCCGCCUUCCGACCUUCUCCAGAGCCUGUGGAACCAAAUUCCGCUGUGGGCUUCACCACCCCAACUAUGCAACAUUGAAGUGUAUGAUGGAUUGAAAUCCUGCCGACCUGGAGUUUUCUAAAUGGUGACUGUGGAGAGAUGCCAAGGAAACUGAAUGGUGCCAAAUGCAGAAUCCUCAAGUUGCUCUCUAAACCAACAGAAAUUCAUUUGGGAGCUGGAUUUCA